GACGAACGCCUGGCGGCGUCGCCUAACACAUGCAAGUUCGAACGGAGUCAAGAGGAGCUUUGCUUUUCUUGACUUAGUGGCGAACGGGUGAGUAACGCGUGAGUAACCUGCCCUGGAGUGGGGGACAACAGUUGGAAACGACUGCUAAUACCGCAUAAGCCCACGGCCCGGCAUCGGGCUGAGGGAAAAGGAUUUAUUCGCUUCAGGAUGGACUCGCGUCCAAUUAGCUAGUUGGUGAGGUAACGGCCCACCAAGGCGACGAUUGGUAGCCGGACUGAGAGGUUGAACGGCCACAUUGGGACUGAGACACGGCCCAGACUCCUACGGGAGGCAGCAGUGGGGGAUAUUGCACAAUGGGGGAAACCCCGAUGCAGCGACGCCGCGUGGAGGAAGAAGGUUUUCGGAUUGUAAACUCCUGUCGUUAGGGACGAUAAUGACGGUACCUAACAAGAAAGCACCGGCUAACUACGUGCCAGCAGCCGCGGUAAACGUAGGUGCAGCGUGUCCCNGGAAUACUGGUGUAAAAGGGAGCGCAGGCGACCGGCAGUUGGAAGUGAAACUAUNGGGCUCAACCCAUAAAUGCUUUCAAAAACUGCUGGCCUUGAGUAGUGCAGAGGUAGGUGGAAUUCCCGGUGUAGCGGUGGAAUGCGUAGAUAUCGGGAGGAACACCAGUGGCGAAGGCGACCUACUGGGCACCAACUGACGCUGAGGCUCGAAAGCAUGGGUAGCAAACAGGAUUAGAUACCCUGGUAGUCCAUGCCGUAAACGAUGAUUACUAGGUGUUGGAGGAUUGACCCCUUCAGUGCCGCAGUUAACACAAUAAGUAAUCCACCUGGGGAGUACGACCGCAAGGUUGAAACUCAAAGGAAUUGACGGGGGCCCGCACAAGCAGUGGAGUAUGUGGUUUAAUUCGAAGCAACGCGAAGAACCUUACCAGGUCUUGACAUCCGAUGCAUAGUGCAGAGAUGCAUGAAGUCCUUCGGGACAUCGAGACAGGUGGUGCAUGGUUGUCGUCAGCUCGUGUCGUGAGAUGUUGGGUUAAGUCCCGCAACGAGCGCAACCCUUAUUGCCAGUUACUACGUAAGAGGACUCUGGCGAGACUGCCGUUGACAAAACGGAGGAAGGUGGGGAUGACGUCAAAUCAUCAUGCCCUUUAUGACCUGGGCUACACACGUACUACAAUGGCGUUUAACAAAGAGAAGCAAGACCGCGAGGUGGAGCAAAACUCAAAAACAACGUCUCAGUUCAGAUUGCAGGCUGCAACUCGCCUGCAUGAAGUCGGAAUUGCUAGUAAUCGCGGAUCAGCAUGCCGCGGUGAAUACGUUCCCGGGCCUU
rnacentral:rRNA from 1 species